UGAUCCAGCCAUGCCGCGUGAAGGAAGACUGCCCUAUGGGUUGUAAACUUCUUUUAUAGAGGAAGAAACACAGAUACGUGUAUUUGUUUGACGGUACUCUACGAAUAAGGAUCGGCUAACUCCGUGCCAGCAGCCGCGGUAAUACGGAGGAUCCAAGCGUUAUCCGGAAUCAUUGGGUUUAAAGGGUCCGCAGGCUGUUGUUUAAGUCAGAGGUGAAAGUUUGCAGCUCAACUGUAAAAUUGCCUUUGAUACUGGAUAACUUGAGUAAUAAUGAAGUGGUUAGAAUAUGUAGUGUAGCGGUGAAAUGCAUAGAUAUUACAUAGAAUACCGAUUGCGAAGGCAGAUCACUAAUUAUAUACUGACGCUGAGGGACGAAAGCGUGGGGAGCGAACAGGAUUAGAUACCCUGGUAGUCCACGCCGUAAACGAUGGUUACUAGCUGUUUGGUUUUCGGACUGAGUGGCUAAGCGAAAGUGAUAAGUAACCCACCUGGGGAGUACGAUCGCAAGAUUGAAACUCAAAGGAAAUUGACGG
rnacentral:rRNA from 1 species